rnacentral:other from 1 species
GAUUUCCUGGAGUGUUCGAUCACCCUGCAAUUUUGAACCUACAUUUCAUUUGACGGGAAAUUUGAUAUCGGGCAAUAUGUCAGGCCUCCGUUUGCAGUGGAAGACAGAAAGACCGACGAGAUUACCCACCUGGCGUUAGGCUAGGCGUCAAAUAGCGGGGAACGGCACCCUGGGACAUAC